rnacentral:rRNA from 1 species
CCCUUAGAUGUUCUGGGCCGCACGCGCGCUACACUGAAUGGAUCAACGUGUUUUCCCUUCCCGAGAGGGACGGGUAACCCGCUGAACCCCAUUCGUGGUAGGGAUCGGAGCUUGCAAUUGUUCUCCGUGAACCAGGAAUUCCCAGUAAGCGCAAGUCAUAAGCUUGCGUUGAUUACGUCCCUGCCCUUUGUACACACCGCCCGUCGCUACUACCGAUUGAACGUUUUAGUGAGGUAUUUGGACUGGACCUUCGGAGGUUCGCCGUCUGUUGGCUGCGGGAAGUUCGUUAAACCUUAUCAUUUAGAGGAAGGAGAAGUCGUAACA